UAAGCAUAUCAAUAAGCGGAGGAAAAGAAACCAACUGGGAUUGCCUUAGUAACGGCGAGUGAAGCGGCAAUAGCUCAAAUUUGAAAGCUGGCUCCUUUGGAGUCCGCGUUGUAAUUUGUAGAGGAUGCUUCGGCAAGGGCUCCCGUCUAAGUCCCCUGGAACGGGGCGUCACAGAGGGUGAGAAUCCCGUAUGUGAUGGGUUGCCUAAGCCAUGUGAAGCUCCUUCGACGAGUCGAGUUGUUUGGGAAUGCAGCUCUAAAUGGGAGGUAAAUUUCUUCUAAAGCUAAAUACCGGCCAGAGACCGAUAGCGCACAAGUAGAGUGAUCGAAAGAUGAAAAGCACUUUGGAAAGAGAGUUAAAAAGUACGUGAAAUUGUUGAAAGGGAAGCGCUUGCAGCCAGACUUGUCCGCAGUUGCUCAGCCGGUCUCUUGACCGGCGUACUCUUCUGCGGCCAGGCCAGCAUCAGUUCGGGCGGUCGGAUAAAGGUCCUGGGAAUGUAGCUCCCCUCGGGGAGUGUUAUAGCCCAGGGCGCAAUGCGGCCAGCCUGGACUGAGGAUCUCGCUUCGGCUAGGAUGCUGGCGUAAUGGCUGUAAGCGGCCCGUCUUGAAACACGGACCAAGGAGUCUAACAUCUAUGCGAGUGUUUGGGUGUCAAACCCAUGCGCGUAAUGAAAGUGAACGGAGGUGGGAACCCUCACGGGUGCACCAUCGACCGAUCCUGAUGUCUUCGGAUGGAUUUGAGUAAGAGCAUAGCUGUUGGGACCCGAAAGAUGGUGAACUAUGCCUGAAUAGGGUGAAGCCCGAGGAAACUCUGGUGGAGGCUCGCAGCGGUUCUGACGUGCAAAUCGAUCGUCCAAUUUGGGUAUAGGGGCGAAAGACUAAUCGAACCAUCUAGUAGCUGGUUCCUGCCGA
rnacentral:rRNA from 1 species